rnacentral:rRNA from 1 species
UACGUAGGGUGCGAGCGUUGUCCGGAAUUAUUGGGCGUAAAGAGCUUGUAGGCGGUUUGUCGCGUCUUCUGUGAAAAUCCGGGGCUCAACCCCGGACUCGCAGUGGGUACGGGCAGACUAGAGUGUGGUAGGGGAGACUGGAAUUCCUGGUGUAGCGGUGAAAUGCGCAGAUAUCAGGAGGAACACCGAUGGCGAAGGCAGGUCUCUGGGCCACUACUGACGCUGAGAAGCGAAAGCAUGGGGAGCGAACAGGAUUAGAUACCCU